AAAACCUAUUUCUAAGAUAUGCAUUCCUGAGAAAGCUGCCAACAUCAUGCUUCCAUGCAAAGAUGGAGCCAAGUAUGAUUAUGAAAAAGAUAAUUAUGGUAAAGACAAUGAUCGAAGAAAAUUAUUAUGGUACGAUGGAGAUGCUAUGUGGCGCCGAGUUCUGGCUCCAGCAUCUGGAGAUGAUUAUUGUUCCAAACCUGGAAAAGUAGCAUUGAUUUCACAAUCUGGGGUCAACCAAUUACAUAUCUUCAUAUUUGUGCUUGCAGUGUUUCAUGUACUCUAUAGUGUUGUCACCAUUGCUCUGGCAAAGGCUAAGAUGAAGAAGUGGAAAAAGUGGGAAGCGGAGACAACUUCAUUGGAAUAUGAAUUUAAUAAUGAUCCUUCCAGGUUUAGGUUUACAAGACAGACAUCUUUUGUUAUGAGGCAUACAGGCUUCUCCACGAGACCAGGUCUUAGGUGGAUUGUGGCAUUUUUCAGGCAGUUCUUUGCUUCUGUAACAAAGGUUGAUUAUUUGACAAUGCGUCAUGGAUUCAUUAAUGCUCAUUUUGCUCCAAACAGCAAAUUCAACUUCCAUAAGUACAUCAAGAGAUCAAUGGAAGAUGAUUUCAAGGUGGUCGUCGGCAUUAG
rnacentral:misc_RNA from 1 species